rnacentral:rRNA from 1 species
GAUGAACGCUGGCGGCGUGCCUAAUACAUGCAAGUCGAGCGAACAGACGGGGAGCUUACUCCUCUGACGUUAGCGGCGGACGGGUGAGUAACACGUGGAUAACCUACCUAUAAGACUGGGAUAACUUCGGGAAACCGGAGCUAAUACCGGAUAACAUGUUGAACCGCAUGGUUCAACAGUGAAAGACGGUCUUGCUGUCACUUAUAGAUGGAUCCGCGUCGCAUUAGCUAGUUGGUAAGGUAACGGCUUACCAAGGCAACGAUGCGUAGCCGACCUGAGAGGGUGAUCGGCCACACUGGAACUGAGACACGGUCCAGACUCCUACGGGAGGCAGCAGUAGGGAAUCUUCCGCAAUGGGCGAAAGCCUGACGGAGCAACGCCGCGUGAGUGAAGAAGGUCUUCGGAUCGUAAAACUCUGUUAUUAGGGAAGAACAAAUGUGUAAGUAACUAUGCACGUCUUGACGGUACCUAAUCAGAAAGCCACGGCUAACUACGUG